GCCAUGAUGAUGAUAUCCAUUAUGCUGCUCUUUAUGGAUAACAAGGAAUGCAUGUCAUAAGCACUUAUAUUAUAUAUAAACAUAGUGGUACACUUAUAGAGUUUUAAUUUUGAUAAACUAAAUGAACAAUCAUUUCUCAUAGUUACCCAUAUGACAACUGCAUUCCUCUUCAAUGCUUCAUAAAAAUAACAGGGAAAUAUAUAAGCAAACUAUCCUAGCAUACUUGAAAAUUUUCAAUAGGCAAAGAAAUGCAAGGUAGAAGAAAUGGAAUAUGAAAUGUAUCUACCUCCCUCACAGGCAAAAACUAUAGCACAGGGAUAACUAUGAAAGUGGCUCUUUAGGUGAGAUUCUGUGAAUUAAUGCUGGAACCAAAAUACACUAUGGACAUGGAGGCAUGUACAAUUCAAAGAAGAAGUGUACUCCUCACAUCAAGAUAUUAACAGAAAAU
rnacentral:misc_RNA from 1 species